UGGUCCUCCCAGCGUCUCGUUUUCUCAGCAUCUCACAUCGGCCUGACCUCAGUUAUUUUACUGGAGCCAGGAAUUUGAUAGCGCAUGGAGACUUAGCAAAUCGUUGCAGGGAAGAGCUGGAGACGCUGAAGCUUCCCGAUUUCCUCCCCCUCUUGGAACUACGGACAAUAAGGACAACCCAGCCCUGUCCUGAGGGAUUUUUUGACCAUCGAGGGAGGCACAAGGCAAUGUGCGGAACUUGAAAAAGUGGCACAAGUUUCUCAGCCCGCUUCCUGUUUGCAAAGUCAGUCCUGACUCCAUUUAUGAAAACCAAGUAUUAGGGCCUCCCUGGCUACGGAAGGGUCAGCUGGCGCCAAACUCCCCUCGGAGACUCAGAAGAUUCCUUAAGGGAGCAGCAAGAAUUUCCACCGCGACUAUUUGGACGGACAGAAACUGAUCAUGAGAAACGUGCGGAAAGCCACUGCCUACACCAUGCGCAAGCCACGCCCCCUUCGAGGCCUGGAACUACAAAUCCCGUCCUGCCACGCGCUGGGAGCCCCGCGCUUCGGGGCGCUAGUUGAGAAUCAAAUGCCAGGGGUUCUGGGCAGGAUCUGGAAUCCCUCUGAGGUGGAUGUGAAGCAGUAGUGAGUUUGGAGGGUUGAGACUGGGCCGGAGUGUUCCAGAAGGGUUCAGAACCCGAGAAGCUUUCUUUUUUCCCCUUCGGUACUGGGGUUUGAACUCAGGGCCUUCACCUUGAGCCACUCCGCCAGCCCUUUUUUG